rnacentral:rRNA from 1 species
AGGGUGUAAACGCUGCAGACUUGGUGUUGGGAACCCUUCGGGGUGCUCAGUGCCGGAGAGAAGUUGUUAAGUCUGCUACUUGGGGAGUACGUCCGCAAGGAUGAAACUUAAAGGAAUUGGCGGGGGAGCACCGCAACGGGAGGAGCGUGCGGUUUAAUUGGAUUCAACGCCGAAAAACUCACCAGCAGCGACUGUUACAUGAAAGUCAGGUUGAUGACCUUACUAGAUUUUCAGAGAGGAGGUGCAUGGCGUCAGUGACU